UUAGAAAGGUAGGAAUCGAACCUACACCUGAGAAAUCAAAAUCCCCUGCAAUUCCAUUUUGCCACUCUCUA
rnacentral:tRNA from 1 species